rnacentral:rRNA from 1 species
UACGAGAGGCCCAACCGUUAUUCGGAAUUACUGGGCUUAAAGAGUUCGUAGGCGGCGCAGAAAGUAGGGUGUGAAAGCCCUCGGCUCAACCGAGGAAUUGCGCUCUAAACUACUGUGCUUGAGGAAUCUAGAGGUGAGCGGAACUGAUGGUGGAGCGGUGAAAUGCGUUGAUAUAUAGAGGAACACCAAUUGGCGAAGGCAGUUAACUAUUCGGUUUCUGACGUUGAGGCACGAAAGCGUGGGGAGCAAGACGG